AUUUAAAUAGUUUAAAUAAAAUAUUGAUUUGUGGUAUCAAAGUUAUGAAAAAUUCAUUUUAGAUC
rnacentral:tRNA from 1 species